UACGAGGGGGGCGAGCGUUGUUCGGAAUUAUUGGGCGUAAAGAGCUCGUAGGCGGUUCGUCGCGUCGGCUGUGAAACUACGAGGCUCAACCUCAGGCCUGCAGUCGAUACGGGCGGACUUGAGUACUGCAGGGGAGACUGGAAUUCCUGGUGUAGCGGUGAAAUGCGUAGAGACCCGGAGGAACACCAGUGGCGAAGGCGGCUCACUGGCCCGAUACUGACGCUGAGGCACGAAAGCGUGGGGAGCAAACAGG
rnacentral:rRNA from 1 species